AUUUAAUUUUCUUGGACAGUCAGUUUCCGAUCAUAGCGCAGAAAUAUUUAAUGCCGCGUAUAAUACAACGUGGUAUUUAGCUCCAUUAUCAAUACAAAAAUUGCUUUUAUUCGUGAUGCAAAAUUCUCUGAAAAGUCAUACCCUAACAAUUGGUCAUAUCUAUGUAUCAUCUCUAGAAGGAUUUUCUACACUUGUGACUACAGCAGUAUCAUACUUUACUGUAAUAUAUACC